rnacentral:rRNA from 1 species
UACGUAGGGGGCAAGCGUUGUCCGGAAUUAUUGGGCGUAAAGCGCGCGCAGGCGGUUAAUUAAGUCAGAUGUGAAAGGCUACGGCUCAACCGUAGAGUUGCAUUUGAAACUGGUUAACUUGAGUGCAGGAGAGGUAAGUGGAAUUCCCGGUGUAGCGGUGGAAUGCGUAGAGAUCGGGAGGAACACCAGUGGCGAAGGCGACUUACUGGCCUGCAACUGACGCUGAGGCGCGAAAGCGUGGGGAGCGAACAGG